AGCGAACGCUGGCGGCAGGCCUAACACAUGCAAGUCGAACGGAGCCUUCGGGCUUAGUGGCGGACGGGUGAGUAACACGUGGGAACGUACCUUUUGGUUCGGAACAACUCAGGGAAACUUGAGCUAAUACCGGAUGAGCCCUUAGGGGGAAAGAUUUAUCGCCGAAAGAGCGGCCCGCGUUAGAUUAGCUAGUUGGUGAGGUAAAGGCUCACCAAGGCUACGAUCUAUAGCUGGUCUGAGAGGAUGAUCAGCCAUACUGGGACUGAGACACGGCCCAGACUCCUACGGGAGGCAGCAGUGGGGAAUCUUGCGCAAUGGGCGAAAGCCUGACGCAGCCAGGCCGCGUGAAUGAUGAAGGUCUUAGGAUUGUAAAAUUCUUUUACCAGGGACGAUAAUGACGGUACCUGGAGAAAAAGCCCCGGCUAACUUCGUGCCAGCAGCCGCCGUAACAC
rnacentral:rRNA from 1 species